rnacentral:rRNA from 1 species
UACGAAGGGGGCUAGCGUUGCUCGGAAUUACUGGGCGUAAAGCGCACGUAGGCGGCUUUGUAAGUUAGAGGUGAAAGCCCGGGGCUCAACCCCGGAAUUGCCUUUAAGACUGCAUCGCUUGAAUCCGGGAGAGGAGAGUGGAAUUCCGAGUGUAGAGGUGAAAUUCGUAGAUAUUCGGAAGAACACCAGUGGCGAAGGCGGCUCACUGGACCGGUAUUGACGCUGAGGUGCGAAAGCGUGGGGAGCAAACAGG